rnacentral:rRNA from 1 species
GUGGGGAAUAUUGGGCAAUGGGGGAAACCCUGACCCAGCAACGCCGCGUGAGGGAAGAAGGUUUUCGGAUUGUAAACCUCUGUCCUUGGUGACGAAGGAAGUGACGGUAACCAAGGAGGAAGCCCCGGCUAACUACGUGCCAGCAGCCGCGGUAAUACGUAGGGGGCAAGCGUUGUCCGGAAUGACUGGGCGUAAAGGGCGUGUAGGCGGCCGAUUAAGUCUGGAGUGAAAGUCCUGCUUUCAAGGUGGGAAUUGCUUUGGAGACUGGUUGGCUUGAGUGCGGAAGAGGUAAGUGGAAUUCCCAGUGUAGCGGUGAAAUGCGUAGAGAUUGGGAGGAACACCAGUGGCGAAGGCGACUUACUGGGCCGUAACUGACGCUGAGGCGCGAAAGCGUGGGGAGCGAACAGGAUUAGAUACCCGUGUAGUCC